AUUGAACGCUGGCGGCAGGCCUAACACAUGCAAGUCGAGCGAGCGGCGGACGGGUGAGUAAUGUAUGGGGACUGCCCGCUAGAGGUGGGUCACUACUGGAAACUAUCGCUAAUCCCUCCUACUAUCGGAUAACCCAUAUGGGAUUCGCUAGUCGGUGCGGUAAUGGCUCACCUAGGCGACGAUCCCUAGCUGGUCUGAGAGGAUGAUCAGCCACACUGGGACUGAGACACGUACAAGAAUCCGACGGAGGCAGCAUUGGGGAAGAGUGCACAAUGGGCGCAAGCCGGAUGCAGCCAUGCCGCGUGUAUUAAGAAGGCCCUAGGGUGGUAAAGUACUUUCAUUCGGGAGGCGGUACCGACAGAAGAAGCACCGGCGAACUCCGUGCCAGCAGCCGCGGUAAUAC
rnacentral:rRNA from 1 species